UUGAAACAACGGUCCCCGUUCGAUCACCGAAGUUAAGAAACGUUGAUCCUGGUCAGUACCUAGAUAGGUGACCGCUUGGGAAUAUCUGU
rnacentral:rRNA from 1 species